rnacentral:rRNA from 1 species
AGCAGCCGCGGUAAUUCCAGCUCCAAUAGCGUAUAUUAAAGUUGUUGCAGUUAAAAAGCUCGUAGUUGAAUUUUGGAUUCUUCCAAUUGGUCCAUCUUUUAGAUGAGUACUGGUUGUGUGGGGUCUAUCCGCCUGGUGAUACGUAAUGUCCUUUAUUGGAUGUUGCGGGUAGUCAGGACCUUUACCUUGAAAAAUUAGAGUGUUUAAAGCAGGCCUAUGCCGGAAUACAUUAGCAUGGAAUAAUAGAAUAGGACGAAGUUGUUUUAUUUUGUUGGUUUCUAGGACAACCGUAAUGAUUAAUAGGGAUAGUUGGGGGCAUUAGUAUUCAAUUGUCAGAGGUGAAAUUCUUGGAUUUAUUGAAGACUAACUACUGCGAAAGCAUUUGCCAAGGAUGUUUUCAUUAAUCAAGAACGAAAGUUAGGGGAUCGAAGACGAUCAGAUACCGUCGUAGUCUUAACCAUAAACUAUGCCGACUAGGGAUCGGGCGAUGUGUUUCCAUGACUCGCUCGGCACCUUAUGG